rnacentral:lncRNA from 1 species
GCUUGGGUGUGUGACGCGCUGUCUUCCCGCCCGCGUCAGGGACCUGCCCGACUCAGCGGCUGCCAUGGCAUCAGAUGAAGGCAAGCUUUUCGUGGGAGGUCUCAGCUUCGACACCAAUGAGCAGGCGCUGGAGCAGGUCUUCUCCAAGUAUGGGCAGAUCUCGGAAGUGGUGGUGGUAAAGGACAGGGAGACUCAACGAUCCCGAGGCUUCGGGUUUGUCACCUUUGAAAAUAUCGAUGACGCUAAGGAUGCCAUGAUGGCUAUGAAUGGGAAGUCUGUGGAUGGGAGGCAGAUCCGAGUUGACCAGGCUGGCAAGUCUUCUGAUAACCGGUCCCGAGGAUACCGGGGUGGCUCUGCUGGAGGCCGUGGCUUCUUCCGUGGGGGACGCAGCCGGGGCCGAGGGUUCUCCAGAGGAGGAGGAGACCGGGGCUAUGGAGGUGGCCGCUUUGAGUCCCGGAGUGGUGGUUAUGGAGGCUCCAGAGACUACUAUGCCAGCCGGAGUCAGGGUGGCAGCUAUGGCUAUCGGAGCUCCGGUGGGUCCUACAGAGACAGCUACGACAGCUAUGGUAAGUCUGGCUCCAAGGGCGCCACCUGAGUGGCUGUGGUUGGGCUCGGUGAACCCUUGUGUCCUCAGAGCAUCUCAGGGCACAGCUACCAGGCCUGCCGCACAGGACAGGGCGCCAGGUGCAUGAAACCCUGUGCCGUCUCCCACGCGCGGGUGGAGCACAAGCUCCAGUGACUUUAUACUGUCCCGCUUCUGUCCUCAGCUACACACAACGAGUAAAAGCCCUCUGCGUCCAGAUCGUCCUUCCAUGGCUGUAAUAAGAUGGGGGAGCUUCGCUGAACGUUGUGUAGUGAGCACCUUGUUACCACUUUUGUAGUCCUUUCGGUUCUGACCCAUCAGCAGCCUGCUUCUGACCGAGAUGGCCUCGUGACUAGACCUGUUUUUAAGGAAGCGCUGUCUGUUUUUAAGCAUUCUUAAAAAUGUUUUGGAAAGCACUUCAGAUUUUACUGUUUACCAUGAGCCAUGGGUAUUUGUGGGGGUUUUUUUGUUAUUUUUUUGUUUUUGUUUUUUUCCCUAAAUUGUCGGGUUGUGUGGGUUUUCGUUACUCGUUUUUGUUUUUUGAGGUUUUUUGGUUUUCUUUUUUUCUUUUUUUUCUUUUUCUUUUUUUUUUCUUUCUUUUUUUUUUUUUUUUUUUUUUGGUGUGGUUGCCCAUGAAGUCUGGGGCCCCACCCCUCCUGAGAUGGAAUGGACUCGAUUUGAGCAAGCCAUAGCCCUCCAGCUCCCCAGCCCUGUUGCGGAGUGCAGCAGGUCCUGCCCAUCGGGCACAUGUCUCAAGCCCGCAGGGAGCACAGCAGUCCGGGAGGCUGUGGAAAUGUUUAUUUAUAUUGUCCUUUUUUACCGAAGACAUGCAUACUCCAUCGAUGUUGUAUUCACAGUGGCUGAGGAAUUCUUGUACGCAGUUUCUUUGGCUUCACGAAGCCGAUUAAAAGACCGUGUGAAACGAAUCUCGCUCUGACCAUUUCCCUUUCAUUGCCGACACUGAGCUGCGGCUCCGUGGCCAGCAGAGCAGCUAGGAAGGCAGGGCAGUGCGGGAGGCAGCAGCAGCCGAGUGGGACGGGAGUGGGCAGUGCUGAGGGGCAGCGGGGUGGCAAUGGCCUGGGCCAGUGCAGGGCCCGGUGCAGGCAGGGCCAGCGAGGCUGCCUAGCGGCUGCGCCCCGCCAGUUCCAGGCAUUCUCUGCUAGCCUCCGAAGCCGCAGCCCUCGGGGGACAGACUCGAGCCACAGACCCUCCGAGACUCGCCCGCUGCUCCCCCUGCUAGCUCUGUGCAGCUGGCCUGUGCCUCGAGGUAACACUUUCGCUCGCUCGCGCUUGUGUCUCACCCCUCCGGUUUAUAGCUCACGUGGACAGAAACUUAGGCUUGGGGUUGACCUUUGCUUCCUGGAAGUCCGAGUCAAAUUGGUGGUACCUCCUGCCAGUCUUCCUGCGGCGGCCAGCGCCACCGGACCCCUGCUUUGAGGGCAUGUUUUUGUUCCUUGUUUGACAGGCUUUAGACCUGCGCUGCUGCCUUUAAUUUUGGCCCAGAGUCCGUGAGGCUGUUGAGCGGUACAGAGCGGGGCUCUGCUCGAGGCGGGCUGCAGAAGGGCGCUCCCGCCCUGGGCAUGGCCACCUUGGGACGAAACACGUGGGCGCCGUGAGGGUGGGAGCGGGGAGACUGGAGGGCGCUGCAGACCCACGGGAAUGCCAGGGUCACGCGCCUUUGUUUGGCAGGAUGAAGGGGAGCCAACCUGAGCCAUGGAAGGAUGGCUGAGGCCGUGUCGCUGGGUCCUAGAGGGUUCCACAGGAUCAGGAGCCAUAGACUGCACACAGUUGGCCCGACAAUUCCUGAGCUGGCACCGGCUCUUGGGCGAUCCUGUGAAAACAGAACGAAGCUGGGAUGCAAGCUGGGUCGCUGGGACAGAACGUUGCGAGGGUGGGGGUUGCCUGAAUAAAGAAAGGGCUGUGACCCAGAAUCCC